GUCACAAAUUUGUUAGGAAAUAGAAAACACAGUAAGUUUUGAGAAAAGUCACAAAUUAAGUUAGAAACAAUGUUCAAUUUUAUGUAUGAAGGCAAAAAGUUUGUGAACAAAAAAUUGAUAACUACUAGAAUAUUUGUGUAAUACAAUGAGUUAAUAAAAAUUGUUUAUUUCAGAAUUUUUUUUAAUUAAUUUUGAUAAAAAACAGUUUAAAGGAUUGGUUUGAAUAUCAUACAGCUUUCUAAUUUCAAUAUCAAUAAGUUGUUUUAAGAGUCUCAUGUUUUAAUGUACCUGUAAUUUUUUCGCUGAGUUAACUUAUAAAGAUAAAUAUUUUCUCUGAGUUAACUUAUACAGAUAGAAAGGCUGCUCUUUCAUCUAUUAAUAUUUAUAUUGAAUAAAUUUAUCGAUCUUGUCUUGAUCUUACUUAAGGGGGUUCGCGGGUCUAAAUCAUUUAUAUAGGAUUUCUCUAUAUUUUUCUAUAAAUGAACUUUAUCUUAUAGUUAAUAGAAAAAUAAAAUAAAAAAGUGGGGUCACCGUUCAUUUGCCCUCACAAUCUGCCUUCGAAAGAAGCAUACAUUUUUGUAAAGGUGUUUUUUUUCUGUUGAAGUAAUAGGAGAAAUAAAGGUAAUAUCGAAAUAAAAAAAAAAAAUUAUUACAGAAAUCGCUAAAAUUUUACAAUAAUUUAGUUUUAGUACAGCUUAUAUGGAAAUUAUAUUAAAAAAGUUAGGUAACCGAUGAGUUGAAAAAGAUAUUUCAAUUUUAGAGCAAAUAAAUGUCAUUUUUCCACCAAAGGGAGAUAAUUUGGAACUUUUUCAAUGAUGUAUACAUUUUGAAAGUCAUCUGGGGCCAACACGAAUUGAUUGUUUUGAAUGAUUUAUGUACCAUAUGAUAAAGUAACAACUACAAAAGGAAAUAAAUAGAAUUUGUAAUGGAAAACAAAUGUUUGAUUUUUUUCUGAAAUUUUUAUACCCUCGAACCUCCUUAAAUAUGAUGAUUCAUUCCAUACACCAAAUACAGCAUUGUAUUUGCUUAUAUGCAGUAUAUGAGAAACUGACAAGACCAAAAUCAUUUACACUGACAUAUAAAACAUGAAAAUGAGGUCAAGUUCGGGUGAAACUGACAGGUGAGUAUGAACAAUUACUAUUUGAGUCAUUCCGCACAACAAAUAUAGUGAAUAUGUUGCUAAUAGUAUCUGAUGUUCGGGUUUGGUCACGAAAACUGAACAUUGAUAACUGAUCCAUGAAAUAAGAUUGAGGUCAAGUGAACCAUGUCUGACGGAUAUGUACACUUUGAAAGCAUCUAAUAUACACAAUAUAUUACCCUAUAACUCGCAAUAAAAGAGUAUUUUGCAGCGACAAAACAACUAAAAGUAGCAUUCUGAGAGUUUUGCAAGUCAAUUACCCUACCAACUAAAAAUUCAUUGUAAUUCAUUGUAAUGGAGCAAUUAACUUUGAUCUAUAACUUGUCACGGUGUCAAACUAUACAAUUAAUAUCAAAAUAAGUGUGGAAAACUGAUUAUUUGCCUGAAUUGUCUAAGUCCAAUAAACUUUCGAAAUAACCCUACAAACUAAACAAAAUUUAGAUUUAAUCUUGAACUUGUAAUGGCAACACUGUAUACCAAAUAUCAAUCUAUAUCUUCCUACAUGACAAAUGAUAUGCAGAAACUGAUUAUUUGCCUAAGCCAACUGUAUCUUCACACAGACUAUUAUUUUAUAUCCCUCUUAUUUAUUUACACAUGCAAAUAACUUUCUCAAUUCAGUUCUAAAAUUCUGAUCGAAGUAACUGUAUAUAAAGGGAUUAACAAUAUGGUUUAGAAACACAAAACGAGAAAGAUAGAUAAUUAGAAAUGCUGCCUCUCUUGACAAAGAAAUGUAAUUGAAAUCAGGGAGAGUAUAUACUACAAUAAAAAUGAUACAAGUAGGAAUAUAAGAUAAAACAUAAGCAACAAUAAUGACAAAAAACAUAAUCGUUAUUCUUCUUGUUGCUUUUUCCUUCCUUGUUCUUUCGCCGUCCUCUUUCUUUAAAGUAUUUACUGAUUUAUUAAUAUCAAGAUCAACACUCAAAGAAGAGGAAACGUCAAUGCUUGGAUUUGAGCUAGAUAUUUUCUGGAUCUGAAUUCCGUGAAGUUUUCCUUUACAAUUGUAGAGUUCUAUAUCUUUUGUUGAAUCAGUAUUACUAGGUGUAUUUCGAUGUUUGAAUGUCUGACGCCAACUUCUGAAUUUCCCAAGAAAAGAGAGUUUUAUCCUUUUCAACACUAAUAUGAACAAAGUUAUGGUUAUCAAAAUACUGAUAAUAAUUAGCAGUAGAAGACAGCUGAUGUACGCUCUUAUAUUUGCUGUAAUUUCUGCUGUGAAAAAUUUACAGACUGUCAUCUGUAGUGUAUGAUUUUGAAACGUUUUGGAUGAUGUUUUAAUUCCAGAUAUUGCAAGAAACGGUGCAGAUAAUGCCAAAGAAAACAAGCAUACGACAACAAUGGCAAUCCUUUUCCAGCGUGAUGUCAUCCUUGGUCCGUGAGGUUUGCAAACUAACAGAUAUCUUUGAACACCAAUAAUGACUAGUAGACUAGCCGAUAUUCCUGGCACAAGCAGCUGCAAAAAAAUCAGAACACGACACAUCAGAUCAUAGGGAUAAUUCAAUAAAAACUUAUUAUCCAUAAUGUAGAACACAGAACUUGUUAUACACGCAACUAAAUCUACGACUGCCAACACUGGAAUAAAAUAACGCUGUCCUCGUUCCUGAAUCCGAAAGAAGUAACAUAUUAUAACUGAACAAUUCCCUAGAAUUCCAACAAUACCUCCGAUAAUUGUCAGAAUGGUACUGCUUACAGCGACGUCAGAGUAUUUCAGUUCCCAAAGAAUCUGAAGAUAAUCAGUGUUAUUCGUCAUACCUUAAUCACGUUUGU
rnacentral:lncRNA from 1 species